CAAUUUCAUAUAUCUAACACUAUCAGCUGGCGGCUCCAGUAGCGUUCUUCUUUCGAGUGAGUUCACAUUUCUUUGCAGUCUUUGACAAGGAGUCAAUGACUACGUCUUAAAUGGAUCAUGAUCGCUUGUAAAAGGAAUUUGGGUGAAGGCAUUUUUUUACCAACCGUUCUUAUGUAACAAGUUUUUUGCUUCUCACAAAUUCCUAAAGGUCCUUUUUUAAAAAAGAAAGAAAAAAAAAGAAAAAAAAAAAGAAAAAGAGAGAGAUGAGAGGUGUGGGGGCGGAGAAGAAGGAAAAGCAUGGCCAACAAGGGUGAGAGAUGGUGGAGGAAAAAGAAAACAAAAACAGAAACAAGGGAUAUCAGCGUUGCGAAGCUCAUAGGAGACAUGAAGUUGGUAAGCAGCCACCAGCAGCCUUGGACAUAAGCAAGGCAGUCUGAAUAUCUUUUGCUGGAUUCCUCUUUAUCGAAGAGAUGACAUACUCCAUGAAGACUGCAUCACAAGGUACUCUAAUCGGUCCAUCACUUGGGAGGCCAAACUCUUCUUCUGACAUUUCAAAAAGUUGGAUGAUAAGUGGACUGCUGAGAUAUGUAAUAGGGAAGGCAAAGCGCCUUUCAUCUGCUGUAUAAACAAUAAAGUGGCCUUUAUCUGCCACCGAAGAUGUGUCUUGAUCUGCUCUUCCACUGGCUCCAGGCAGUGAAAUUCUUUUCCUCUUGAGGGCUGCUAGGCGUUGCCACUUCUUUGCCAUCUUGAUGAGUUUCUCUGAGCUGAUCAUUUUGUCUUGAGAAGAUAAAUCUGAAAAAGAAAGACAUGGAUAACUUCUUUCUAGAGAACUGGAAAAUUGGGAUUACUGACUGAUGCAGAGUGCAAUUGGAUUAGAUGAGUUAUAUAGCAAAAGACCAUAGACACUUUUUUUCAUAUGGGUUACACUUUGAGGGGAUUCAUGUAUACAAUAACAUGUGACAUAUGUUCCUAAGGACCACAAAACAAAAGCACAGACGAUUGGGUGCAUAUACUGUAUCACUAAUCUUCCUUUUAUAGAAAACAUAUCAUAUUAUAUUCUUUCAUUUCUAUAAAUAUUUAACUGUUUCAAGAUCUUAGAAAAUUCAACUUGUCAAAAAUGAGUGAGAAAGAUUUGGCAGAUCUAGGCACGUGCAAGACAUAGCAUCUUGGUCCCAACAUGUUCAGCAGUAAUAUCAAAGAAAAAAGAAACUUAUGUGGCUAAAACCAAUGCUUUCUUUAGUGUAGCUAUAAUUUCUAAACAGAUAUGAAAAGGUCUAAAUUCUCCUGGCCUCUAUCGCCCAUUCAAUUAUCAAGAGUGCAAUUAUGGCUAAAGAACGUUAUGAUUCAUUUAUGUUACAGGGUUCUAACUCGUGUUUAGGUGGUGGGUAGCAAGCUAAAGAAUUCUGAGUGGCCAUUAAUUCCAGGUUUGUGUUCUACAAUAUCCUCAUUGAUUGUCCAACUAGCCAAACAUUGCACCAUUGAAGAAUAUCCUCUCAGUAUCUAAACAUAGUGGUCCAUGUGGGAGGAGGAGCUCAUGGAUGCACAGCCAAAAAUGUAAACCUAUCCAAUAUUAUAUGACCUAUCAGAAAACUGUCCAUGUCCCAUAAUCACAUAUCACAUGGCUGUGUACCCGUUAACCCCUCAGAAGGUCACCCCACAUGAAAAUAACUAUUUCAAUGGUCUAGUGGUAUAUAACUCAUCCAGCACUGUUGCAUUCUGCAUCAAAUUAACGGUCAUAUUCCAUUAUUCAAAAAGAAGAAUUUCACUUAUUUCUUUUCUAGGCUCACUUAGCUUUAAAAACAAUGAUCAGCACAAAGAAAUUAAUCAAGAUGGCCAAGAAGUGGCAGAGAGUAGCAGCCCUCAAGAGAAAAAGAAUUUCACUCCCAAGAGCCAGUAAAGGCGCACAACAAGACACUAGCAAUGCAACAUCUGUGGCAGAUAAGUGACAUAUCAUUGUUUACACGGCUGAUGAAAGGCAUUUUGUUUUCCCAAUAGCAUCUCUCAACAAUCCCAUAAUUAGAGAACUCUUCAAGAUGUCUGAGGAAGAAUUUGGUCUCCCAAGCGAAGGACCAAUCAAAUUGCCUUGCAAUGGAGUCUUCAUGGAGUAUGUAGUUUCUUUCAUUCAAACACGUCUUGAUAGAAAUUUGGAGAAAGCACUGCUAAUAUCAAUUGCUGGCAAUAG